rnacentral:rRNA from 1 species
GUUUCAUUUAAAAUUUAAUAAGAAUUUUAUUUUUUAGUUAAAAAGCUAAAAUAUAUUCAAAAGACGAGAAGACCCUAUAAAUCUUGAUUAUUUAAUAAUUUUUAGUUUAUUUUGAUUUUUUUUGUUAUAAAUUUAUUAAUUAAUUUUAUUGGGGUGAUAUUAAAAUUUAAAUAACUUUUAAUAAUUUUUAUCAUUUAUUUAUGAUUAAGUGAUCCAUUAUUAGUGAUUAAAAAAUUAAGUUACUUUAGGGAUAACAGCGUAAUUUUUUUGGAGAGUUCUUAUCGAUAAAAAAGUUUGCGACCUCGAUGUUGGAUUAAGAUUCAUAUUUAAAUGUAGAAGUUUAAAUAUAAAGUCUGUUCGACUUUUUAUUCUUACAUGAUCUGAGUUCAAACCGGUGUAAGCCAGGUUGGUUUCUAUCUUUGAUUUAGUAAAAUAUUUUAGUACGAAAGGAAUUAAUAUUUAUUUUUUAAAAAUUAAUUUAUGAAU